GCCGCCAACUUAUUUUUUUCUCUUUAUUUGUAUUGUAUUUUUAGGAGAUUUUUUAUGAAAAAUCUAUUGGAGAACUGAUUUAUCAUAAAAAAAUAUGAAAAGGGAUGUCCCAUAAUUUUUUUUGACAUGUUUUGGCAUAAAUUUUGAGUAGGGGUGACAACACAUCAAGAGUCCAUGAUCUCUAGGACUCUUCACCCCACCUAAUUACAUGUUGAAAUAAAAGGAGUU
rnacentral:lncRNA from 1 species